UACGAAGGGUGCAAGCGUUACUCGGAAUUACUGGGCGUAAAGCGUGCGUAGGUGGUUUGUUAAGUCUGAUGUGAAAGCCCUGGGCUCAACCUGGGAAUUGCAUUGGAUACUGGCAGGCUAGAGUGCGGUAGAGGAUGGCGGAAUUCCCGGUGUAGCAGUGAAAUGCGUAGAGAUCGGGAGGAACAUCUGUGGCGAAGGCGGCCAUCUGGACCAGCACUGACACUGAGGCACGAAAGCGUGGGGAGCAAACAGGAUUAG
rnacentral:rRNA from 1 species